AAGGCGCCUAACAACCAGGAUGAAAACAGUUGUCAACUUGGACAUCAACGGCAGACAUUACACCAGACUCGUUUUGACAUGAUUUUCCACUAUAUACAUACCUAAGGAUGCCAAACCUGCGUGCUGUUCAUACCACCUCAUGGGUUUGUUUGUUGAGCUGGCCAAGCCAGUUGUUGACGAUCUAUAAUAUCUCCAUGUUGACAUUGUCUUUCCUUCCUAUAAUCCAUAUACCUCUACUAUUCUUUUCGUCUCUAUACGCUUGGCGCAGAACUACAAUUGACAUAGAUAUCGAACACGGUGGACGAAGAGACCAUUCGUGCGUGGCGACUACCUUUACUCCAAGUUUUCCUCAAUUGUCAAGUUUGGCCGCAUUAGCGUUUACAAACCGGUA
rnacentral:sRNA from 1 species